rnacentral:rRNA from 1 species
UCUAGAGAUCCUACGGGAGGCAGCAGUGGGGAAUUGUUCGCAAUGGGCGCAAGCCUGACGACGCAACGCCGCGUGGAGGAUGAAGAUCUUCGGGUCGUAAACUCCUUUCGAUCGAGACGAAUGGCCCUUGGGCUAAUACCCUGAGGGAGUGACGGUACCGAGAGAAGAAGCCCCGGCUAACUCCGUGCCAGCAGCCGCGGUAAUACGGGGGGGGCAAGCGUUGUUCGGAAUUACUGGGCGUAAAGGGCUCGUAGGCGGCCAACUAAGUCAUACGUGAAAUCCCUCGGCUUAACCGGGGAACUGCGUCUGAUACUGGAUGGCUUGAGUUCGGGAGAGGGAUGCGGAAUUCCAGGUGUAGCGGUGAAAUGCGUAGAUAUCUGGAGGAACACCGGUGGCGAAGGCGGCAUCCUGGACCGAUACUGACGCUGAGGAGCGAAAGCCAGGGGAGCAAACGGGAUUAGAUACCCCGGUAGUCCUGGCCCUAAACGAUGAAUGCUUGGUGUGGCGGGUAUCGAUCCCUGCCGUGCCGAAGCUAACGCAUUAAGCAUUCCGCCUGGGGAGUACGGUCGCAAGGCUGAAACUCAAAUGAAUUGACGG